rnacentral:tRNA from 1 species
AGGUAGCUCAGUGGUAGAGUUCUUGCCUUGCAUGCACAGAGCCCUGGGUUCAAUUUCCAGCAUACCUA